GAGUAAUGAUGAAAUUAUUGGUCCGUGUUUCUGAAUGUCUACUGAAGUUAACACGACACAAUCUGAACUA